GACAGCAGUAGCCGCGGUAAUACGUAGGUGGCAAGCGUUGUCCGGAAUUAUUGGGCGUAAAGGGCUCGCAGGCGGUUUCUUAAGUCUGAUGUGAAAGCCCCCGGCUCAACCGGGGAGGGUCAUUGGAAACUGGGAAACUUGAGUGCAGAAGAGGAGAGUGGAAUUCCACGUGUAGCGGUGAAAUGCGUAGAGAUGUGGAGGAACACCAGUGGCGAAGGCGACUCUCUGGUCUGUAACUGACGCUGAGGAGCGAAAGCGUGGGGAGCGAACAGGAUUAGAUACCCCUGUAGUCCCUGUCUCUUACAC
rnacentral:rRNA from 1 species